UACGUAGGGCGCAAGCGUUAUCCGGAAUUAUUGGGCGUAAAGAGCUCGUAGGCGGUUCGUCGCGUCUGCCGUGAAAGUCCGGGGCUCAACUCCGGAUCUGCGGUGGGUACGGGCAGACUAGAGUGAUGUAGGGGAGACUGGAAUUCCUGGUGUAGCCGUGAAAUGCGCAGAUAUCAGGAGGAACACCGGUGGCGAAGGCGGUUCUCUGGGCCUUACCUGACGCUGAGGCACGAAAGCGUGGGGAGCAAACAGG
rnacentral:rRNA from 1 species